rfam:HIV-1 clone 1181 from Australia gag protein (gag) gene, complete cds; pol protein (pol) gene, partial cds; and vif protein (vif), vpr protein (vpr), tat protein (tat), rev protein (rev), vpu protein (vpu), envelope glycoprotein (env), and n
UGACUAGCGGAUGCUAGAAGAAA